ACAUUAGUGGAAACCUUUACAUUUUGAUGCAGAACCGAAGUUAUAUUUUCUUCCAUUGGUACAGAAUUUAUAUAUUGAUACAGGUUUAAGGUUUUCAUUGACAUAAAUCUUUGAUCAUAAAUACUGAUACAAAAUUUAAAAUUAAUUUUGCUACUCUUUGCCCUGUACAUUGUGCCUAUGCAACCCGUUUAAGAAUACAAGGCUUAGACCCAGUGCUUCUAAUAGCUGGUAUCACAAACUGUUUAAGAUGAUUAAGUAACACAAAUUGGGGGCUGGAGAGAUGGC
rnacentral:sRNA from 1 species